rnacentral:rRNA from 1 species
UACAGAGGGUGCGAGCGUUGUCCGGAAUCACUGGGCGUAAAGGGCGCGUAGGCGGCCUGAUAAGUCGGGGGUGAAAUCCUGUGGCUCAACCACAGGGCUGCCUCCGGGACUGUCGGGCUCGAGCACAGUAGAGGCAGGUGGAAUUCCCGGUGUAGCGGUGGAAUGCGUAGAGAUCGGGAAGAACAUCGGUGGCGAAGGCGGCCUGCUGGGCUGUUGCUGACACUGAGGCGCGACAGCGUGGGGAGCAAACAGG